rnacentral:rRNA from 1 species
AUUGAACGCUGGCGGCAGGCCUAACACAUGCAAGUCGAGCGGCAGCGGGUCCUUCGGGAUGCCGGCGAGCGGCGGACGGGUGAGUAAUGCCUAGGAAUCUGCCUGGUAGUGGGGGAUAACGUUCGGAAACGGACGCUAAUACCGCAUACGUCCUACGGGAGAAAGUGGGGGAUCUUCGGACAUCACGCUAUCAGAGGAGCCUAGGUCGGAUUAGCUAGUUGGUGGGGUAAAGGCGCACCAAGGCGACGAUCCGUAACUGGUCUGAGAGGAUGAUCAGUCACACUGGAACUGAGACACGGUCCAGACUCCUACGGGAGGCAGCAGUGGGGAAUAUUGGACAAUGGGCGAAAGCCUGAUCCAGCCAUGCCGCGUGUGUGAAGAAGGUCUUCGGAUUGUAAAGCACUUUAAGUUGGGAGGAAGGGCAGUAAGUUAAUACCUUGCUGUUUUGACGUUACCAACAGAAUAAGCACCGGCUAACUUCGUGCCAGCAGCCGCCAGUAACAC